UUUUUGAAAGUUUUCUAAAGGUAUGAAGUGCUUCAGCACUGAGAAAGAAAAAGAUAACAAAGAAUUACAAAUCACAUUUCAAUUUUUUUCUCUACGUUUUCCAUUUGUUGCAAGAAAGAAAGAUGUAGAAGAUGUCAUAAAUGAGUCAAAGUUAUUAGUUUUGGCAAUGAGCUAUGGUUUGUAAAUUUGGCAACAUUCUUUUACUUAAAAUAAUAAGCUGUUUUUAAUAAUAUGAGGGUUAAGGGUAACAGGCAAGUAUACUAUAUUCCCAUUCAUCUAUAUAUGGAUCUAGAGCAAAGUAGCUCAACUUCUCAGAAUAAAUCUAAAUGAAAAAUAAUUUAUGUUCAAAAUUUUGAACAAUAAAUAUGUUAUUCUAUAUGUUUUAUGACUAACAAGAAGGUAUGCAUUUCUAUACUUAAUUAAAUCUCAAUUCCUAGAACAAUUCUAUUUUUAUUGACUCCCAAGAAGCUUUCCUUUAUGGUCAAUAUCACUAUCGCUGAAGGCUGGCAGGAGAGUAUGAGAUGAUAUAUAAUACCUGAGACUAGGAUGAUCUGCACCAGUUAUUUCUGUAAAAUAAUUUAAAAUCUGCCCCCCCCCAAAUUUUUAAGCUUUUUUUUAGUUCAAAUCUCCAUAGUUAAAGAAAACUCCAUGUUGGAUUGGCCAGAUGUUAUCAACGUGAAACCUCCCUCUCCAAAUUUUAUUGAUAUAAAUUACCAGGUUAAAAUCAGAUUGGCUUGAAGUCUCAGAUAAAUUGUUUUUGUAUUAUUUGACUAGAAAGUGUUAUCAA
rnacentral:lncRNA from 1 species